rnacentral:tRNA from 1 species
GUCAGGAUGGCCGAGUGGUCCGAGGCACUGUGUUCAGGUCGCAGUCUCCACUGGAGGCGUCGGUUUAAAUCCCACUUAUGACA